rnacentral:rRNA from 1 species
CCGGAAUUAUUGGGCGUAAAGCGCGCGCAGGCGGUCCUUUAACGUCUGAUGUGUAAGCCCACGGCUUAACCGUGGAGGGUCAUUGGAAACUGGAGGACUUGAGUACAGAAGAGGAGAGUGGAAUUCCACGUGGAGCGGUGAAAUGCGUAGAGAUGUGGAGGAACACCAGUGGCGAAGGCGACUCUCUGGUCUGUAACUGACGCUGAGGCGCGAGAGCGUGGGUAGCGAACAGGAUUAGAUACCCUGGUAGUCCACGCCGUAAAACGAUGAGUGCUAGGUGUCAGGGGGUUUCCGCCCCUUGGUGCUGCAGUUAACGCAUUAAGCACUCCGGCUGGGGAGUACGGCCGCAAGGCUGAAACUCAAAAGAAUUGACGGGGGCCCGCACAAGCGGUGGAGCAUGUGGUUUAAUUCGAAGCAACGCGAAGAACCUUACCAGGUCUUGACAUCCUCUGACCACCCUAGAGAUAGGGCUUUCCCUUCGGGGACAGAGUGACAGGUGGUGCAUGGUUGUCGUCAGCUCGUGUCGUGAGAUGUUGGGUUAAGUCCCGUAACGAGCGGAACCCCUGAUCUUAGUUGCCAGCAUUAAGUUGGGCACUCUAAGGUGACUGCCGGUGACAAAUCGGAGGAAGGUGGGGACGACGUCAAAUCAUCAUGCCCCUUAUGACCUGGGCUACACACGUGCUACAAUGGAUGGAACAGAGGGCAGCGAAGCCGCGAGGUGGAGCAAAUCCCACAAAACCAUUCUCAGUUCGGAUUGUAGGCAUGCAACUCGCGUACAUGAAGCCGGAAUCGCUAGUAAUCGCG